CUACAGAAAAUGACUGAGCGGCGAACGGGUGAGUAACGCGGGUUGGGAGCAAUACUUAACCAUUAUAAGGUUUACCAGGCACUUCAGCCCGAGUGAAAAACUUCGGAUUAAUACCUUGAAUAUUCUUUUAUCUUCUCGGCAUGAGAAUAAAAGGAAAGGGUCAAGGCCCCGAACUAAGAUGAGCUCGCGUUCUAUCAGCUAGUUGGUGAGGUAAAAGCUCACCAAGGCUACGACGGAUAGCUGGUCUGAGAGGACGAUCAGCCACACUGGGACUGAGACACGGCCCAGACUCCUACGGGAGGCUGCAGCAGGGAAUAUUGCGCAAUGAGCGAAAGCUUGACGCAGCGACACCGCGUGUGGGAUGACGGAUCUAGGUUUGUAAACCACUUUCAGGAGGGAAGAAAAUGACGGUACCUCCACAAGAAGCCCCGGCCAACUACGUGCCAGCAGCCGCGGUAAUACGUAGGGGGCGAGCGUUGUCCGGAUUUAUUGGGCGUAAAGAGCUCGUAGGCGGUUCAACAAGUCGUUCGUGAAAGUUCAGGGCUCAACCCUGAAA
rnacentral:rRNA from 1 species